CCCUUAGAUGUUCUGGGCUGCACGCGCGCUACACUGAAGCUAUCAACACGUUUUCCCUCCCUGAGAAGGGCGGGUAACCUUUUGAAUCAGCUUCGUGGUAGGGAUCGGGGCUUGCAAUUGUUCCCCGUGAACCAGGAAUUCCUAGUAGACGCGAGUCAUAAGCUCGCAUCGAUUAAGUCCCUGCCCUUUGUACACACCGCCCGUCGCUACUACCGAUUGAACGUUUUAGUGAGGCAUUUGGACCGACGCAUCUCAGUUUAACCGCUGGUUUGUGUUGGAAAGACUUCCAAACUUGAGCGUUAGAGGAAGUAAAAGUCGUAACA
rnacentral:rRNA from 1 species